UCCUCAUGCCUCCAGACAGGGCCAACCAGAUUCCAGAUCUGUCUAUACUUUGCUGCGCCAGCCACACCCAACCCAGUUCCUGUCUCGCUUCAAGAUAGUCCACAAGCUGCCCAGUCUCUUCUAGCUUCUGGCUGCCUUGGGCUUGUUUUUCCUUGGCUAUCCUCUCCCUUAUUGGUUGGUGUCUCCCCACUUGUUCCGUUCAUGGAGUUUUCACACGGUGGCGACAUUCUGAAGGCCGCCCUUCCGGAGGGCCUCCUCUCAGAGGCUAUGUUGGCACCCGUGUUCUCUGCGGGGUCUGGGGCCGCUGCUGUGUGCGCUGCUGGGCUUUCUGAGGGAACGAUAGCUCAAAGCUCUUCUGAGGUGGCUCUGUGCCUAGAGCUCGUUCCGCCCUGAAAAGUGGCAAAGAAGACCCAACACUUCAAGGGCCCAGACGUGGCCCAAAAGAAAAAGGAAUGCAAGACAGUGUUCAAAAAGGCUUCUGAUGGAGCAGGUUAUUCUUUGUCUGGUACAGAUUUGGGCCGUAAAGCCGGGUCCUACGACGGAAUCAUGGCAAGGCAUGUUUUCUUUGCUCUUCUUGGUUCCAAAGAAGGAUGACACCUGGCUUGUGAUUCUUGACCUGAAACAUCUAAACUGCUUUGAGAGGAAGCGGACCUUCAGGAUGGAGUCCAUCAAGAGAUCGGUCCACACGGGAAAUUGGCUUUCAUCUAUAGACUUGUCAGAGGCUUAUCUGCACAUCCCAAUUCACCCGAGGUAGCGUCAUUUCCUGAGGUUUGCUUACAAUCAACAGCAGUUCCAAUACAGAGCAUUGCCUUUCAACCUGUCAUUGGUGCGCCGAGUAUUGACACCAUUGAUGGUAGCUAUCAUCGCACACACCUGGGAAUUCAGACCUAUCCAUAUUUGGACAAUGUGUUGAUCAGAUCAGUGUCCUACCAUCAAGCAAUCAGCAGUGUCAUGUGCACGGUCCACAUUCUGGAGGAACACGGUUUCAUUAUCCACCGUUUGAAGAGUCAACUUCAACUAUCUCACAUUCUGCUACAUCUGGGAGUGCUUUUCAAUAUGGAGUUGGCAUUAGUAUCUCUACCAGUAGAGCUUCAGAACACUGAUGACACCCAGUUCUACUUCUCCAUGUCAGCUUCUGCAGGUAAUGGCAUAUCCUCCCUAAAUGCCUGCCUGGAAGCAGUAAUGGGCUGGGUGAGGGAGAAUAAACUGAAGCUGAAUCCAGAUAAGACGGAGGUACUUAUUGUGCAGGGUCAGAACUCCAGAGACGAUUUUUAUCUACCUGUUCUGGAUGGGGUCAUACUUCCCCAAAAGGAACAGGUACUCAGUCUGGGAGUACUGGAUCCACACCUCUCCUUGGUUUCUCAGGUUAAGGCAGUGGCCAGAGGUGCUUUCUAUCAGCUUCGGCUGAUAUGCCAGCUGUGUCCAUUUCUCGAGAUCAAUGACCUCAAAACAGUGGUACAUUUGUUGGUAACCUCCAGACUUGACUUCUGUAAUGCUCUCUACAUGGGGCUGCUUUUGUACGCAGUCCGGAAACUUCAGUUGGUUCAGAAUGCGGCAGCCAGGUUGGUCUCUGGGUCAUCUUGGAGAGACCACAUUACUCCUUUGCUGAUGGAGUUACACUGGCUGCCGAUAGGUUUCUGGGCAAAAUACAAAGUGCUAGUUAUAAAUGGCUUAGGUCCUGGGUAUUUAAGAGAGCGUCUUCUUCACUACGAACCCCACCACUCAUUGAGGUCAUCUGAGUAGGUCCGUCUCUAGUUACCGCCAACUCGUUUGGUAGCUACAGAGAGAUGGGCCUUUUCGGUCACUGCUCCGAGAUUGUGGAAUGCGCUCCCUGCUGAGUUACGAUCCUCCCCAUCUCUGGCUAUUUUUAAAAAACAUUUGAAAACCCUUUUUUUAAACCCAAGCCUUCUCAGUUUUUUAAUUAAAACAUACUGUUUGUUAAUUUUAUGGUUUUUAAAUUAUUGUAUUGUUUUAACUUUUAUAUGUGUUAUAUGUUUUGCUGUUUUAACUUUUUAUGUGUUUUAAUUGUUGUUAGACGCCCAGAGACAUAAGUUUGGGUGGGGUAUAAAUCAAAUAGAUAGAUAGAUAGAUAGAUAGAUAGAUAGAUAGAUAGAUAGAUAGAUAGAUAGAUAGAUAGAUAGAUAGAUAGAUAAUUUGGCUCCUCCCCCUAUCUAUAGGUUUCCCACUUGGGAUUUAAAUAAGCUUUUAAAUACCUUGACCAAGGCUCCAUUUGAACCUCUCAGUUCUAUUUCUUUGAGGUAUUUGUCAUUCAAGGUUUUAUUCUUAGUGGCGAUCACCUCUUCUGGGAGGGUCUCGGAGUUGGCUGCCCUCUCAGUGAGAGAUGAGUUGUGUAUUUUUUGAAAAAGAGUCCGUUGUUUUAAAGUUGGAUCCUACCUUCUUGCCAAAGGUCAAUUCUAUUUUCCACAGAAGCCAGGAAGUGGUGUUACCUGUUCCAAGCCCAUGCAUCCCAAGGAAUGUGUGUGGCAUAAGUUGGAUGUGCGAAGGGCUUUAAGAAAUUAUACCCACCAAACUCAGUCUUUGAGGAAAACGGACUCUUCCUUUGUUUCUUUUCAAGCAGGCUCCCUCGGGACCAAAGCUUCUAAAUUGUUUCUGGCCUGGUGGCUUAGGGCUACUAUAGCCUUGGCUUAUGAGACACUGAACUUACCUGUGCCCAGAGGUGUCAUGGCACAUUCAACGAGAAGUGCGGCUGCAUCGGCAGCUUUCUCAGCAAGAGCUGCCCUGGAGGAGAUUUGUGAAGCGGCCACAUGGAGUUCUGUUUCUCCUUUUGUGAGACACUAUAAGAUUUCUUCCUUCUAGGAUCCGCAGGCAGUGGUUGGAAGGACAAUUCUGCCGUGGGUGGUCUAGGCAUCCGCACCCCGCUCUUGAUUUCAUUCAGCUUGGGUAUGUCCCGUCAAGUUAGGAUGCCCUCCCCAUUCCUCGGGAAAAGAACCAUUGGUAGACUUACUGUGAAUUGUUCUUUUUCGAGGUAUGGGGAGGGCAUCUUGCCCUCCCACGGAUGCUGGGAAAGGAACUCCCAGGGUUCAAGAUUGUGCUAUCCCUGUUUUUUCUCUUCCUUUGGAGGUCUCUGGAUUGUCCCUGGUUGACCUUUCUUCUGUUCUUGUUCAUUCUGUUUCUCCGGUGGUUGAAAGCCAGAGUUUAUUCUCCAGUGUGGGGCUACAGGUUUUUCGCUCGCAGUCCUGGAACUGGGUUGGGUGUGGCUGCUCAGCAUAGUAUAGACAGAUCUGAAAUCUGAUUGGCCCUGUCUUGAAGCAUGAGAAGGCUGACAACCCGUCACGUUAGGAUUAGGGAUGUGCACAAAACCGGUUUGCCCAGUUCCGUUUGAAUUCGAACUGGGUUCAAACCAGGAGGGGGUGGUUCGGUUUUGGUUUUGCUCAAACACACACACACACACGGUUUGGUUCAAACUGGUUUAAACCAGUUCAAACCGGUUUGAAUUGAACCACCCACAGUUUGGUUCAAAUUCGAACCUGCAGCUCAAACCUGAUGGCUGGUUUGGUUCAAAUUCAAACCAUGAACCACCCCGGUUCGAGUUUGAACCAGUUUGCACAUCUCUAGUUAGGAUGCCCUCCCCAUACCACAAAAAGGACAAUUCACUGUAAGGCUACAAAUGUUUCUUGUCCUCUCCUUUCUCCCCUUCCGCCUUUCUUUCUCUCUCCCUCCUCUCCCCCCCCUCACAUUUUCUUUUUCUAUCCCUCUUUCUUUUCCCCUUUCUCUCUCACCUUUCCUUUUCUCAUCCCCUCCCCCUUCUUUUCUCUCCCCCUUUCUUUUUUCUCCCCCUUUCUCUCUCUCUCUCUCUUUCUCUCUCCCUUUCUCUCUCUCCCUUUCUCUCUAUCUCUUUCUCUCUCCCCCUUCUCUUUAUCUCUCUCUCCCUUUCUCUCUCUCUCCCCCCCUUUCUCUUUCUCUCCCUUUCUUUCUCAUUCACACACUCUCCUUCUCCCUCUCGCUCCUUCUCCCUCGCUCUCCCCCUUUGUCUCUCUCUUUCUCUCUCUCCCUUUCUCCCCCCCCUCUCUCUCUCUUUCUCUGUCUUCCUUUCUCUUUCCCUCUCUCUCCCUUUCACUUUCACUUUCUCUCUCUCCCUUUCUCUUUCCCUCUCCCCCUCCCCUCCCCUUUCCCCUCCCUCCCUCCCCUCCCCUCCCCUCCCCCUCCCCUCUCCCUUCCCCCUCCCCUUCCCCUCCCCUCUCCCUCCCCUUCCCUUCCCCUCCCCUCCCCUCCCCUCCCCCCUCCCCUUCUUUAUCUAGGAUACUCAUGGGAGAGUCCACCUUUGACCAAGAUAAUAUGCAACACCAUUUCAAGGACUGUGCAUCAAAGGCUGGAAGUAGCUUCCCACAGCCUAAAGCCAACUCUUGCUUUCCUUGGGCAUUGCCUGCCUGCACUGGUUUCCCUCCUUGUCUCUGCUGCCUUGACCUCACCCGCCCCAAAGCAGAUGCCCCAUUAUAGGUGGCGAAAUGCUUUGUCUUUUGAUGCAACUUGACUCUCUUUCAAGUGUGGGGCUGUGUGUGUCCAGCACACAGCUCAUCAUGGGAAACUCUGAGCUCGCAUCCAGACUUCUGCAGGGAAUUGAUUUAUUAUGAUGAUAAUUUUUGGAGUGUCCCAUGUUGGGCCACACACUGGAUACUUGGAGCUGUUUUGUUUUUAUUUCUCACAGUUUGUAUCCAAUACUGAAUGUCUCUGUGUUUUGUAUCCUCUCCCUUUCCGCCCUCUAUCCUCCCCGCAGCCCUUCACUGACUUUAAUAAAAGCACACCAGACUCUAA